rnacentral:misc_RNA from 1 species
GAUGAAGAACGUAGCGAAAUGCGAUACUUGGUGUGAAUUGCAGAAUCCCGUGAACCAUCGAGUCUUUGAACGCAAGUUGCGCCCGAAGCCAUUAGGCCGAGGGCACGCCUGCCUGGGCGUCACACGUCGUUGCCCCCCCAUCUACUCCUUCGGGAUUGCGGGGGGCGGAUGAUGGCCUCCCGUGCGCCUCGUCGCGCGGUUGGCAUAAAUGCCAAGUCCUCGGCGACACACGCCACGACAAUCGGUGGUUGCGAAACCUCGGUUGCCCGUCGUGUGCGGUCGUCGCGCAUCGAGGGCUCGAAAAAAUUGCCGGGCUCCGGCUCGGCUUUCAACGCGACCCCAGGUCAGGCGGGGUUACCCGCUGAAUUUAAGCAUAUCAAUAACGGAGGA